CCUAAAAGAGUGCUGAUAAUUUACCAAUACUUAUUUAAGCAUUUAAUAACCGCUGAAACUCUAUCUCGUUGGCUGCGGUGGCGGAGGAGGACGACAGGAAAGGCUCUUCGUCUAGAAUUUCAGUGGAUUGAGUGAAGAGAGAAGAAAAGAUGGUAAUUAAUUUAUCUUUUUUUUUCUUUUCUGUUUGUAAUCGGGUCAAAUGAACUGGGUGUGGUGGGUUGAGUAGAGUAAUCUUUUAUUUUUGGUUGGAUUGGACUUUAUAUUUAGGCAUAAGUAGAUGUUUUUUUAAAUUUUAGCAUAAAUGAGACACUUAUUCAAAAGUGUCCCAAACAUGUGUCCCUAUAACCUAAUUUUGUUGUAGUGAU
rnacentral:lncRNA from 1 species